rnacentral:tRNA from 1 species
UUAUAAUUGGAUGAGAGUAAAUAUUAUUAGCUAUAAAUAUGAGUAUUAAAAUUAUUAUAAU